rnacentral:rRNA from 1 species
AUGGCAUUUUAUUUUUGUAUUCCAGCUCCUGUUAUAGAUGGUGGACGUCUGAAGAGGUAUGUGUUUCACAAGCUCCGCACCGAGUUGCCAGAGGGUCCGUUCUGCAUCUUGUACGUUAUGUGCGACUGCUACACACCACAAGGUGUUCCAAUCCCCACCAACAAGAGGCACAAUGCUGCCAAGAUCUUCAACACCUCGAAGGUUGCAGCUGAGGAGAGAUGGUAUGGAAUUGAGCAGGAGUACACUCUCCUCCAGAAGGAUGUGAACUGGCCCCUUGGCUGGCCCGUUGGUGGCUACCCUGGUCCUCAGGCAAGAAAACUCUCAGCAUCCUCUCCAGCUUUCCUGUUUUUGUUAUGCAGGUUGGAAGAAAAGAAGAAGAUCCAGAGAAGAUCUUAG